AAAGUCGUAACAAGGUUUCCGUAGGUGAACCUGCGGAAGGAUCAUUACAAAUCCAAGUGGAUACGUGCGUGGUCACGACCACCAGCAUGAGGCGACGUGUCGCCGAGUGCUGUGUGUGUCGUGCCACCACGUGUCCCACACAACACACCCGUUUUAAUGUUCUUUGAGAGGGUCGUGGGGGAAAGGGGGGGAGAGCCGUCUUGACGUCUUCUUCUCUCUCUCACUUCACUCUCUUUACAACAAACCCCCUAGUGUGAUCUCGUUGCUUCACAAAUUGUGUCUCUACACACACAACAACAUGAAACAACUUAUAACAAUGGAUCUCUAGGCUCUU
rnacentral:misc_RNA from 1 species